GCGGCCGGGAUUGGAGCUCACUAGGCCACCGGUCGCCCGGAGCCCGCAGCACAGCACCAGUAUUGUGUAAGUGCCAAGAGACCACUCUGUCAGCAAGCUAAGAGGAAAAUCGAGGCAAGAUGUCAGGCCGGAGCGGGAAGAAGAAAAUGUCCAAGCUGUCCCAGUCAGCCAAGGCCGGAGUCAUCUUUCCAGUAGGCCGGUUGAUGCGCUACCUGAAAAAGGGAACCUUCAAGUACAGGAUCAGCGUAGGUGCUCAGGUCUACAUGGCUGCGGUCACUGAGUACCUAGCAGCGGAAAUCCUGGAGUUGGCCAGGAACGCUGCGAGGGACAACAAGAAGGCCCGGAUAGCCCCCAGACACAUCCUGCUGGCCGUUGCCAACGACCAGGAACUCAACCAGCUACUGAAAGGAGUGACUAUCGCCAGUGGGGGUGUCCUGCCGAGAAUUCUCCACGAACUGCUGGCCAAGAAGAGGGACCAAAGGCAAGUCAGAGACAAUCCUCUCCCACCCCCAGAGAAAAGAGGAAGGAAGGCCACAUCAGGCAAGAAGGGGGCUAAGAAAUCCAAGGCCACCAAGCCAGGGACGUCGAAGAAGUCUAAAGCAAAGGACAGCAAUAAAGAAGGAACAUCAAAUUCCACCUCGGAGGAUGUGCCGGGGGAUGGCUUCACCAUCUUGUCUUCGAAGAGCCACGUUCUGGGGCAGAAGCUAUCCCUGACCCAGAGUGACAUCAGCCAUAUUGGCUCCAUGAGGGUGGAGGGCAUCGUCCAUCCAACCACAGCUGAGAUCGACCUCAAGGAAGAGAUAGGGAAAGCCUUGGAAAAGGCUGGGGGUAAAGAGUUCUUGGAAACAGUAAAGGAGCUUCGCAAGUCCCAAGGCCCUUUAGAAAUCGCUGAAGCUGCCGUCAGCCAAUCCAGUGGACUCGCAGCCAAAUUUGUCAUCCACUGUCACAUCCCCCGGUGGGGCUCUGACAAAUGUGAAGAACAGCUGGAAGAGACCAUCAAAAACUGCCUGUCUGCAGCUGAGGAUAAGAAGCUUAAAUCCGUCGCCUUCCCACCGUUCCCCAGUGGCAGAAACUGCUUCCCCAGGCCGCCCAGGUGACCCUCAAGGCCAUCUCGGCUCACUUCGAGGACGACUCGGGCUCGUCCUCGCUGAAGAAUGUGUACUUCCUGCUCUUCGACAGCGAGAGCAUCGGCAUCUACGUGCAGGAGAUGGCCAAACUGGACACCAAGUAGCUCUCUCCGGCAGCGGGGGCGAAGGAGGAUCGGCGUGACAUCACAAGAGCGGGGUUUAAAAGGAUUGCAGAAGGGUGACAGGGCAUGAGAACGGAGGGUGGCUGAGAGGGUGAAUGGAGGCGGCGGGAAUGGGUCCUGCCUGCCUGGGGAAGGGGUCCAGUGCAUUUUAUAUUCUCUUUACAAAGGGCCUCUCUUCCACAGUUAACCAGAUCUCCACCAGGGCUUUCUUUCCAUGUGUUUUCCUUCCUGUUGUUUUAGAACUUUUUCAAAAACAAACAAGACAAACAAACAUAAAAAUAAGCCUUGUUUAGAUUUAUAGCAGUGACUUUUACACACGCGCGCGCGCGCACACACACACACACACGCACACACACACACACACACACAAUCCGUUCACAGUUUCUUUGUCUUUAGGUUCUUCCUUUUUCCAAGAGAAAAGGAUGUGACUGCCUAACCUAGGUGUACUGGUUGUCUCCCUCAGUGGAGAAGAUGAGAAGAACAUCUUGGGGUGCUUUUCUGUUAUAGGGUCCCCUCUCUGAUACCUAAAAUAUUUGUAACUACACCUAAAAGGGUUUUUGCUUCGGGAUUUUUGUUUGUUGGGUUUUUUGUUCUUUUAAAGAAAAAGAAAAAUGAGAAGAAGAAGAAGAAGAAGAAAAAAAGAUCCAGUGUUUUUCUUAAUU